UACGUAGGGUGCGAGCGUUGUCCGGAAUUAUUGGGCGUAAAGGGCUCGUAGGCGGUUUGUCGCGUCGGUAGUGAAAUCCACUGGCUUAACUGGUGGCUUGCUUUCGAUACGGGCAGACUGGAGGUAUGCAGGGGAGAACGGAAUUCCUGGUGUAGCGGUGAAAUGCGCAGAUAUCAGGAGGAACACCGGUGGCGAAGGCGGUUCUCUGGGCAUGUCCUGACGCUGAGGAGCGAAAGUGUGGGGAGCGAACAGG
rnacentral:rRNA from 1 species